rnacentral:tRNA from 1 species
AAGAUAUUAGUAAAAUAAUUACAUAACUUUGUCRAAGUUAAUUUAUAGG